GAGGAGAGGAGAGGAGAGGAGAGGAGAGGAGAGGAGAGGAGAGGAGAGGAGAAUAUUAUACAUUCAAAUUUAGUGUUAAGGUCAACAAUGGAAAUUCCUGUCUUUGACUUAUUUUGUUCAGGACAUCUUUCAGAAUGAAGAUGAUGAAGGUCUAGUGGUAUGAUGACCAGAGAUGGGGAGAGUAACAGCUGGAAAGACAAAGACAAAACUCACCGUAUUCAUAUCAACUGUUCCUGUAACACCACCAUCAACUGAAGGAUUAGAAGAGGGAAAUGCCCUUGAAAAGGGGAACUGUGAAGAGACUAUUCCUGGAAAGCUGUAUCUGGGCAGUGAAAAGGAGCAAGUAGGCAUUAUCAGCUUCCAUCACCCAGUGAAGUUGUCUCCAGGCAAUGAUCAAAGGAAAUUGUGCAGCUGCCUUUUAAGUCUAUUACACAACAAGAAUUCCAGGAUUUUGAUUUCAUUUCAGAGAAUAAGCAAGCCUCCAGUGCAGAGUUCAUGGACAAAAACGUAUUUAGUAUUACAAAAUCUGUCUUGA
rnacentral:lncRNA from 1 species